rnacentral:RNase_P_RNA from 1 species
GAGUUGGCUGGGCAAUCGCUGUUCAGAUUUAUCUGAAGGGAGGAAAGUCCGGGCUCCAUAGGGUAAGGUGCCAGGUAACGCCUGGGGGGUGUGAACCUACGGAAAGUGCCACAGAAAUUAUACCGCCAGCUUGCUGGUAAGGGUGAAAUGGUGCGGUAAGAGCGCACCGCGCUUCUGGUAACAGAAGUGGCAGGGCAAACCCCACCUGGAGCAAGACCGAAUAGGAACUCAUUUGGUGUGUCCCGCAUCGAGUUCGGGUUGGUUGCUUGAGGCUUUUGGCGACGAAAGCCCUAGAGGAAUGAUUGUCCUUGACAGAACCCGGCUUACAGGCCAACUCAA